AGCAAUCUCUAUAUCAGCUCUUGAACUUUAAUAUUUAAGCUUCGCGUUUAAUUUUCUAAAGCAAUAAAACAACCCAGUCAAAAUAAUAUGAUUCCCAAGCUUUAGUUUAUUUGCCUUAAAGAGCUGCGAUGAGGUUCAGUACCGGUUACUUGAUCGCCUUGAUCACAUUGUUGAUGCAUUGUACGACCGCAACAGAUAUUCAUUGUCCGCCAUGGCCAAAUUGUCACAUUCUCGGUGUGUGCUGUCAGCGAACGCGCCUCGAAGCAGAAUCAGCUAAAGAUUAACACAUAACACAGCGAAAUGUUAUUCCAAAUGCACAAUAAAAAAUAAUAUUAACCAAUGAAA